CUGCAGAGCAAGCUCAAAACUAUCCAUUGCCUCCGGAAUCCAUUGCUGAGGGUAGAGGUGAAGUUGCCCAGGUAUGAACCAGCCAAACCAUGUAACAAAUGCAGCCACCACAACCUUGAAAUAAAAUGAAACAAUGUGAGGUGGAAAAGGUUUUUCCAAUAGAGCUACCCUGACAGCAAGAACACACUGGAAUAUUUGCAGGUAUCAAGCAGGGUAUGAUUUCCCAGAACGAACCUAUUUUUUACUGCUGGAAAACUAAUAAGAUCAGUAAGGAACAGUGUUAAACAAACUAUUUUACCAAAAUCAAAUAAAUAAAUUUGAUGCUCACAAGUUCAUCAAACAGGAGUAUAUGCUCGUCCCUGGCACCAGUAUACUAUACAACUAUCCAAGCCCACGAAUAAGAGUGUCCUGAACCAACACUAUAAGAGCAUCCCGUACCUGAAAAAUGCUGCCCCUCCCAAGGUAGCUCCCAGCAGAUGUGGUCGACUCCUGUCCGGAGAAGCUGAUGUAUCGGCAGUACUACUGCUGCUGCUCAUCUGCUGAUGGUAGAGGUGAAGUUGCCCAGGUAUGAACCAGCCAAACCAUGUACAAAUGCAACCACC